UAUUAAUGAGCCAAGUAAAUAAAACUGAAGAAGAGAAAACAAAAAGAACACUCUUCAAAUUGUCUUCUAGCCCUCAAAUUGUCAGAGCCGGCUCAACCACAAUUAUAAUUUUCUUUAGGCGCAUUGGUGAUGAGAAGCUAUCCGAAGCAAGCUUCACUUAUGCAGCUUCCUCUGUGUCUUUUACAUGCCUCCAUCGGCCAUGGAUAGAUGUAGCAGAACAAGUUGUAAAGCCACGAGGAGCUUGAGGAAUUGCACUCUCCUCUUACAUCCAUCGUUGACAAGGGAAGUGUCUUUACUGGAUCAUUUAUACACAGAGAAAUAAAUCCAGCGAAUGUGUUCUCUCGGACAAGAACUGAAAAGCUAAGCUGCCAGAUAUCUCCUUAUCUAUAUCUAGGAGCUCUCCCUGAAGGUAGUCAUGGAUUAAAAAGAUUGAAUGAUGGGAACUCAUUAAUUGAUCCGUCUUAUCUGUUCCACGGAUUCUUUGAAACUCAGGUCUUGUACCUUGUAUAAUCGCUUUCUAAUCUUUUUUUUAUUUUUAUUUUUUUAUUAGUAAUUGUUAUGGAUCAAAAGAAUAUAAAGGUUUUUGACGCUAUAACGAACCUAAAAAACCUUGAUAAUCAA